rnacentral:misc_RNA from 1 species
AAGUCGUAACAAGGUUUCCGUAGGUGAACCUGCGGAAGGAUCAUUACCAAAUCCAAAUACACAACCCCAUGUGAUCUAUUGUUUAGUCUGUCUUUGGGAGGUUUUCUAUUUUUUUUUCUUUUUUGUUUUUUUCUUACAGAAGAAAAUAAAAGGGAGUAAAAGAAAUAUAUUGCCUCCCAAAAGAAUCCGGCAUACAUUUUUUGUGUGUUCCAGAUUCUUUGAAACAAACCUUUAAACCACUUGAUUCUUUGUUGGAAUUUUACUUUUUAUUAAUUUAUUAAAUAAAAGACAACUUUUAACGGCGGAUCUCUUGGCUCGUG